UAAACAACAAGAACCUACAACACAUUUGAGCCUGACAAAAAGUAAGAGGAAAUCUGAAUGUUGUUCAAUCAGAGAAAUUGAUUUCUGAAAGUGUGUGGGUGAGGUGCUAAAAGAAAAAGGAGAACCUCAACUGACCUUUUCAUUUUUCUAUAUAUUUUACAGUGUUUGUGAUUUAACUGUACAAACAGACUCCUGAUUUUCUUGAUCUGGAUAAAAGAAUCUCAUACGGAACCUCCCUGGAAGUUUAGACUUUCGGACUACAACUCCCCCUAUCAGUCCAAAAGAAAUCAGGUGGCAUCCAUACAACCUUGAAGCAGAGGUAUCCAUUAAGUUCACAUUGGUCUGCCUAGUUAAAAGAAAACCAGAGUUUCAUCUAUGAAGAGUUUCAGGAAUUUUGAAAAAACCCCCAGAAUGGAGUGUGUGAAAAAUCCCAAGGACACCAGGAUUCUGGUUUCCUGAUGAAUCAGGCCUGGAAGCAUAGCCUUUACAGUCUCCAGAGCCAUCUCCUGAAGUCUGAGUGCUCUGUAAGGGUGCACCUGUGUUUGUGCAAGGCGGGUGCACAGAAGAAGGAGACAAGAAGGAGCACCCAGCAGGAGAGCGAUGAGGACUCGUAGCUCUGCAGCUAAGCUCCAGAUGCCACGAGUGAAACUCCAAGAGAGGAAUCUGCAGCAGAGGAGUGGAAGUCUGUCACCUCUGGACCCAGGCAGCAGGAGCCAGUGUCAGCUUCCUCAUUGCUUCUGGGGAACAGUUGACAGCAGCCAGAGGUGCCAGGAUGCCUGCAUCAGGGUAGUCAACUAGCAGCUCCAGAGAUGGUGUCUUCAGGAGGGCUUUGGAUUCUACAAUCAUGACCAGCACUUCCAGGGAGGAGGCUUCCUGGGAUGGGACGAUCUUCAUCUCUCUCCUAGAGAAAUAUUUCUUCUUUGAAACCAACGGACAGUUACUCUAGGACUUACACUAACGUAACAGCCUCAACAUCCUGUGAGACAAGACUCAUGAUCAAAGUAGAGAAGGGAACUAAUCAAUCUAAAAGGAUCACCGGAUCUUCCCACGUAGACUAAACAGUACCAGUUCUUCCAACAUUUAUUCAUAGGUCUUUUCUAAAUCUCUAAUAAAUUCUGCAGCUCUUCUCUGGAUCCUUCCUGUUUGUCCACAUCUUCUUGAAGUGCACCAAAUGAGACACACUACUCCAGGAAGCCUGGAAUCUUAGGAGUUUCGGUGUCCCUGAUCGUGGGGUAGUUUACAGAACAUGGAAACCUUGGAGCUAUGCAAUCCUGGUCUUCAGCUCCAAGGCAGCCUCUGCAGCUUCAUUCUACCAAAGCUAUGCUGCUUUCAGUGCCUGAAUUUGCCUGGUGUCUCUACAGUACACGCUGCUGUAUACUUGGGAUUGUGGAUUCUGGACCCCUGGGCUCCCCAAAGACUGUCGGCUAAGCACGCAGGAAAUCAGAAACCUUGCUUUGCUCCUCUGGAAAUUCACUGAAGCUAUGUUUUUGAUUUUCAACAGUUUGGCAUAUUAUGAUGAAAACCUAUUUUGUCAGCUUUCACUUCUCCUUUGCAUAGAUAUAAAAGAUUGCAAAAAAUCCAAGAGAGUAGAGAAUUGGGCUUUUGACACUAGUGUAACUUGCUAGCAGGCGCACAUUUGUAUACUUUGCUUAAUUUAGAGCAGGAGUAAAACCAGGCUGUACAAGCAGAACCCUCAUUGUAAAAGUUCUCUCCUAUAAUAUUUUUAAGCAUUCUAAAUAUAAUGCCUAUGACUAAUUGGUACCUCCAUUUGCAAGGUUACAUGGAAAAUUCUAGAGUCCAAAGCGUUCAGCAUUUGAACAUUCAAUUUUUUUCAAUGAAAUAUUGAGAUGUUUCCUGGAAAGCAGAAACAUUUUGUAAAAAUGUAGACUCCAUGUUCCUUUAAAAAGAAAAAAACAGAUGUGAUAGAGAAACACUCAUUCUUCUCAUUACUAUUGCAUUACCUUUUUCUCUGUGAUGUGCAAAAUAAAAAAAAAAGAGCUUGUUUC